rnacentral:misc_RNA from 1 species
GCAACUUUCUUUAAGCCAAAUAUUUUUCUUUUUGGUGUUCAAAUUGUUCAUUAGGGAAAAAACCCAACUUUUAUUAGUUGAAAAAAAAAUAUAUAGUCAAUUUUGGAUUAUGGGUACAAAAGGCUUUGUGAUUUAUCUAUUAGCAGGCUUUUCUGUGGCAAUUCUAUCAGUUUUUUUGGUGCAGAACUUCAAAAAUGGUGAUUUUGAGCCAAAAUUGUAUCGAAGUUCUAAUCUUUUGCAACGACCCAUUGGAUCUGAAGACAAAGUUUGGCCGGAAUUGGAGUUUAGUUGGAGGAUUGUUUUGGCAACUGUGAUAGGAUUUUUGGGGUCAGCUUGUGGUACUGUGGGUGGUGUUGGUGGAGGAUUGUUUUGGCAACUGUGAUAGGAUUUUUGGGGUCAGCUUGUGGUACUGUGGGUGGUGUUGG